ACCCCUGAGGAUUGGUUAGACAGAGUGGGUCAGUGAGAAAGUUGUCUCCGCCCGCCUGUACUCCAUCACCAAGGAGCUGGUCACGACACCAUCUCCAAAGAGGACUUCAGAAUGAUGUGGGACCGCCAUUUCAUGAGGCUCACCUGUGACCAGUUCGAGAGGGUGUGGGAGAAGCUGCCAGUGAAUGUGCUGGGGGAUCUGGAGUACAGGGAGUUCCUGAAGCACGCCAGGGGAGCUGUUGCGAUAAGGGACAAGACCACAGACCCAGAGGUCAUCUGUCCCCUGAAAUCCGCAUCACCACCAUCCCCUGGGCUCAUAGAUAUGAUGUCACCAUCACCACCAUCCCCUGGCCCCAUAGAUAUGUCAUCUUCCCCACUAGCUCUACAGAGGCCAAAGACUACAGGCAGCAACCUCCAACGCUCAAAGGUACAGGAUCUCUCUAUACAUGAUGCUUAUCAGUUUACAUAUCUAUCACCAUCUUUGUAUUUGAUAGUCCACUAGGCAGGUAGCCAAACCGCCAGCGGUCAGACAGCCCUUGGAGCGGCCCAAACUACCUCUCCCUACUACACCGGUAUUGUACACCCCUGUUUAACUACCUCUCCCUACUACACCGGUACUGUACACCCCUGUUUAACUACCUCUCCCUACUACACCGGUACUGUACACCCCUGUUUAACUACCUCUCCCUACUACACCGGUACUGUACACCCCUGUUUAACUACCUCUCCCUACUACACCGGUACUGUACACCCCUGUUUAACUACCUCUCCCUACUACACCGGUACUGUACACCCCUGUUUAACUACCUCUCCCUACUACACCGGUACUGUACACCCCUGUUUAACUACCUCUCCCUACUACACCGGUACUGUACACCCCUGUUUAACUACCUCNNNNNNNNNNNNNNNNNNNNNNNNNNNNNNNNNNNNNGAAGCAGGUAGUUUUAAGAAAGGUAUUUUACAUUUACAGAGUUGUCUCCAGGGGCAACACAUUAUACAAUACCAUU
rnacentral:lncRNA from 13 species